GUUGCUCAUUCAACUCUUUAUGUCAGCGCCUUGAUGGCCGGCUCCAUAAAACCUCGAAUGACGCCAUUAGCACGGUGCCUACCGUCCGGAAAUAUCGAUAACAGUCGCUUCGGCGCUUUAUCAGGCACAGGACGACACGUUGAGUGAGGCGCCACCU
rnacentral:sRNA from 1 species